GAGCGGGGAAAGGUAGCCUGCUACCUGACCUAGCGGCGGACGGGUGAGUAAUGCUUAGGAAUCUGCCUAUUGGUGGGGGACAACAUCUCGAAAGGGAUGCUAAUACCGCAUACGUCCUACGGGAGAAAGCAGGGGACCUUCGGGCCUUGCGCUAAUAGAUGAGCCUAAGUCGGAUUAGCUAGUUGGUGGGGUAAAGGCCUACCAAGGCGACGAUCUGUAGCGGGUCUGAGAGGAUGAUCCGCCACACUGGGACUGAGACACGGCCCAGACUCCUACGGGAGGCAGCAGUGGGGAAUAUUGGACAAUGGGGGGAACCCUGAUCCAGCCAUGCCGCGUGUGUGAAGAAGGCCUUUUGGUUGUAAAGCACUUUAAGCGAGGAGGAGGCUACCGAGAUUAAUACUCUUGGAUAGUGGACGUUACUCGCAGAAUAAGCACCGGCUAACUCUGUG
rnacentral:rRNA from 1 species